GAUGAACGCUGGCGGCGUGCUUAACACAUGCCAGUCGAACGGAAAGGCUCCUGCUUGCAGGGGUACUCGAGUGGCGAACGGGUGAGUAACACGUGGGUGAUCUGCCCUGCACUUCGGGAUAAGCCUGGGAAACUGGGUCUAAUACCGGAUAGGACGAUGGUUUGGAUGCCAUUGUGGAAAGUUUUUUCGGUGUGGGAUGAGCUCGCGGCCUACCAGCUUGUUGGUGGGGUAAUGGCCUACCAAGGCGUCGACGGGUAGCCGGCCUGAGAGGGUGUACGGCCACAUUGGGACUGAGAUACGGCCCAGACUCCUACGGGAGGCAGCAGUGGGGAAUAUUGCACAAUGGGCGCAAGCCUGAUGCAGCGACGCCGCGUGGGGGAUGACGGCCUUCGGGUUGUAAACUCCUUUCGCUAGGGACGAAGCGCAAGUGACGGUACCUGGAGAAGAAGCACCGGCUAACUACGUG
rnacentral:rRNA from 1 species